GCCGUUGUAGCUCAGAUGGUAGAGCAACUCCAUGGUAAGGAGUAGGUCGCCGGUUCGAUUCCGGCCAACGGCU
rnacentral:tRNA from 1 species